rnacentral:rRNA from 1 species
UACGUAGGGAGCAAGCGUUGUUCGGAUUUACUGGGCGUAAAGGGCGCGUAGGCGGCCUGUCAAGUCAACUGUGAAAUCUCCGGGCUUAACUCGGAACGGUCAGUUGAUACUGUCAGGCUAGAGUGCAGGAGGGGCAAUCGGAAUUCUUGGUGUAGCGGUGAAAUGCGUAGAUAUCAAGAGGAACACCUGAGGUGAAGACGGGUUGCUGGGCUGACACUGACGCUGAGGCGCGAAAGCCAGGGGAGCAAACGGG